CUCUUUGUGUGAUGACUUAGCCUUUUAUUUAUACAGUUAUCCCUGUCUGAAAAACUUUUUCGUGUGGAUAUCGCCUAACUUCUGACAUUUUG
rnacentral:snoRNA from 1 species